GCGUGGAUCUCGCCCGUGUCGACCAUCCGUCGGUGCCCCGAGAUGGAUAAGAGCAUCCUCGGCCCCCCUGCUAACCCUAGUGCCCCUUUUCCCUCUCUCCCUCACUCGUUCCCCUCGCACCACCACGCUCUCUCUCUCCCGAGCUCAGCGUCGUCGCGCCGACACCGUUCAACGUGGCCACCGAGCUCCUCUCGCAGCGCUAUCAAGUCCAGAAGGUCCGCCGUGCUCCACCUCAUCUCUCUGCGGAAGAACGUGAGCCGGGAAGCGUUGGUUCGUCGCCAGCGUCAUCGUCUUCAAUCUUCGGAGCCGACCACCGCCGCCUUCGAUUCGCCGCAACUAAGACAUCCCCAUGCUUGUCGUCCACUCCAGGAGCCGUGCCUCCUCCGCUUGCAUCGAGUACGCCAACGGGUCGGUCGGGAUCGCCACUACAUCGACGCCACAAUCCUCUUCUUCAACCUCGGUCGCCGGCGCGCCAUCGCCCAACUACUCUGCUCCGACCACUCCGGCAUUUCCCCGAGCACGCCUACGGCUCCGCGAUGGUGGAACCCAGGAUCCAAACGCCACCUUUGACGACGACUGCUACUACACUGAGGGUGCCUACUACUACGUGGAGACCGCCGACGACCAGGAGUAGUUAGGAGGCUCCCAGGCAGGAAGCCUUGCCUUUUCAAUCGAUGUUGCUUUUUUGCUAGCUUUCUUAAGGCAAACUUGUCUAACUUAUGUCUGUACUCAGAUAUUGUUGCUUCCACUGACUCUUGUGUUUUCGAGCUGAUGUAUUCGAUCCCUCGAGGCCCCUGGCUUGUAAUAUAAAGCUUGUAUUAUUUUAAUUUGUGUUUAGAGUUGUGUUAUGAUA